UUGACAAGAUGGAUCUUGGAAGGUCACUCUCUUGGUCCCUGUUCUGGUGGCAUGGAGGAGCUUAGGGCUCUGUCUAUGAUGUACAGUCCUUUUCCACUAUGUUAGAGAUAAAGCCUGCUUGCACAUUUCCUACAAUUUUUCAGAGUUCUCUGAACAUGACUUUGAAAAGUUGAGCCAGGUAGGAAUCAGCU
rnacentral:snoRNA from 1 species